UUGGAUAGCCGGAGAGAGUGGGCUUGUCAGAGGGAAGAGACAUGGAAACAUUUGUCUCAGAGACCAUUUUCAGAUUUCAACUCCUCCUUGUUUCAUCCAAUUGUCAAAAAAAAAUUCUCUUAUAUUCACCCACCAUUGGUUCCCGAGACGGUCGUGAAGGGUAAAAAGAUGUCACAACUCACUAUUACCAAAGAUGUUGUUACGCAAAAUGAAAAAAAAAAAAAAAAAAAAAAAA
rnacentral:lncRNA from 1 species